AGCGAACGCUGGCGGCAGGCCUAACACAUGCAAGUCGAACGAUCCACCGGGAUAGUGGCGGACGGGUGAGUAACACGUGGGAACGUGCCCGUUGGUUUGGAACAACUCAGGGAAACUUGAGCUAAUACCGAAUGUGACCUUCGGGGGAAAGAUUUAUCGCCAUUGGGGCGGCCCGCGGCUGAUUAGCUAGUUGGUGAGGUAAUGGCUCACCAGGGCGACGAUCAGUAGCUGGUCUGAGAGGAUGAUCAGCCACACUGGGACUGAGACAAGGCGCAGACUCCUACGAGAGGCAGCAGUGGUGAAGCUUGCGCAAUGGGCGAAAGCCUGACGCAGCCAUGCCGCGUAAAUGAUGAAGGACUUAGGAUUGUAAAAUUCUUUCACCGGGGACGAUAAUGACGGUACCCGGAGAAGAAGCUCCGGCUAACUUCGUGCCAGCAGCCGCCGCCG
rnacentral:rRNA from 1 species